AGUCGAACGAAGUAGCAAUACUUAGUGGCAGACGGGUGAGUAACAUGUAGGUAUCUACCCUUUGGCCUGGAAUAACACGAGGAAACUUGUGCUAAUACUGGAUAAGUCUUUACGGAGAAAGCUUUAUGCACCAUUGGAUGAGCCUGCACUUGAUUAGUUUGUUGGUAGGGUAAUGGCCUACCAAGACUUUGAUCAAUAGCUGAUUUGAGAGGAUGAUCAGCCACAUUGGGACUGAGACACGGCCCAAACUCCUACGGGAGGCAGCAGUGGGGAAUCUUGCACAAUGGAGGAAACUCUGAUGCAGCGAUGCCGCGUGAGUGAAGAAGGCCUUUGGGUUGUAAAGCUCUUUCGUCGGGGAAGAAAAUGACUGUACCCGAAUAAGAAGGUCCGG
rnacentral:rRNA from 1 species